GAUGAACGCUGGCGGCGUGCCUAAUACAUGCAAGUCGAGCGAACGGACGAGAAGCUUGCUUCUCUGAUGUUAGCGGCGGACGGGUGAGUAACACGUGGAUAACCUACCUAUAAGACUGGGAUAACUUCGGGAAACCGGAGCUAAUACCGGAUAAUAUUUUGAACCGCAUGGUUCAAAAGUGAAAGACGGUCUUGCUGUCACUUAUAGAUGGAUCCGCGCUGCAUUAGCCAGUUGGUAAGGUAACGGCUUACCAAGGCAACGAUGCAUAGCCGACCUGAGAGGGUGAUCGGCCACACUGGAACUGAGACACGGUCCAGACUCCUACGGGAGGCAGCAGUAGGGAAUCUUCCGCAAUGGGCGAAAGCCUGACGGAGCAACGCCGCGUGAGUGAUGAAGGUCUUCGGAUCGUAAAACUCUGUUAUUAGGGAAGAACAUAUGUGUAAGUAACUGUGCACAUCUUGACGGUACCUAAUCAGAAAGCCACGGCUAACUACGUGCCAGCAGCCGCGGUAAUACGUAGGUGGCAAGCGUUAUCCGGAAUUAUUGGGCGUAAAGCGCGCGUAGGCGGUUUUUUAAGUCUGAUGUGAAAGCCCACGGCUCAACCGUGGAGGGUCAUUGGAAACUGGAAAACUUGAGUGCAGAAGAGGAAAGUGGAAUUCCAUGUGUAGCGGUGAAAUGCGCAGAGAUAUGGAGGAACACCAGUGGCGAAGGCGACUUUCUGGUCUGUAACUGACGCUGAUGUGCGAAAGCGUGGGGAUCAAACAGGAUUAGAUACCCUGGUAGUCCACGCCGUAAACGAUGAGUGCUAAGUGUUAGGGGGUUUCCGCCCCUUAGUGCUGCAGCUAACGCAUUAAGCACUCCGCCUGGGGAGUACGACCGCAAGGUUGAAACUCAAAGGAAUUGACGGGGACCCGCACAAGCGGUGGAGCAUGUGGUUUAAUUCGAAGCAACGCGAAGAACCUUACCAAAUCUUGACAUCCUUUGACAACUCUAGAGAUAGAGCUUUCCCCUUCGGGGGACAAAGUGACAGGUGGUGCAUGGUUGUCGUCAGCUCGUGUCGUGAGAUGUUGGGUUAAGUCCCGCAACGAGCGCAACCCUUAAGCUUAGUUGCCAUCAUUAAGUUGGGCACUCUAAGUUGACUGCCGGUGACAAACCGGAGGAAGGUGGGGAUGACGUCAAAUCAUCAUGCCCCUUAUGAUUUGGGCUACACACGUGCUACAAUGGACAAUACAAAGGGCAGCGAAACCGUGAGGUCAAGCAAAUCCCAUAAAGUUGUUCUCAGUUCGGAUUGUAGUCUGCAACUCGACUACAUGAAGCUGGAAUCGCUAGUAAUCGUAGAUCAGCAUGCUACGGUGAAUACGUUCCCGGGUCU
rnacentral:rRNA from 1 species